UACGUAGGUGGCAAGCGUUGUCCGGAAUUAUUGGGCGUAAAGCGCGCGCAGGUGGUUUCUUAAGUCUGAUGUGAAAGCCCACGGCUCAACCGUGGAGGGUCAUUGGAAACUGGGGAACUUGAGUGCAGAAGAGGAAAGUGGAAUUCCAAGUGUAGCGGUGAAAUGCGUAGAGAUUUGGAGGAACACCAGUGGCGAAGGCGACACGCUGGGCCGUACCUGACGCUAAAGCGCGACAGCAUGGGGAGCAAACGGG
rnacentral:rRNA from 1 species